rnacentral:rRNA from 1 species
UACGGGGGGGGCAAGCGUUGUUCGGAAUUACUGGGCGUAAAGGGCUCGUAGGCGGCCAACUAAGUCAGACGUGAAAUCCCUCGGCUCAACCUGGGAACUGCGCUUGAUACGGCAGAGCUAGAGGAUGGAAGAGGGUCGCGGAAUUCCCAGUGUAGAGGUGAAAUUCGUGGAUAUUGGGAAGAACACCGGUGGCGAAGGCGGCGACCUGGUCCAUUACUGACGCUGAGGCGCGACAGCGUGGGGAGCAAACAGG